AGUACAAUUGCUGGAUUGUAUGGUAAGAAGAUAUUUAAUUUUGUAAGAAACUGUCAAACUGUUUUUCAAAAUGGCGGUACCAUUUUACAUUCCCACCAGCAAU
rnacentral:pre_miRNA from 1 species